AUGUCUCCACUCUACCUCCUCAAAGUGGACUACCAGCCCCAGCACUGAGCACACCACCACCUCCAGCUUCCUUUGCUGUUGGAACCUGUGCUCAAUGCCUCACACUUCCUCUACCAGGGUCAGUAGGGUUUCAGGCCUCAGCCAUAGUCUUCUCCACCACGUCUCUGCGCUUCCUGUUUCCUCCACCUCCUGCCAGAGCAACACCAUCAUCCUUCCAGUUUCUAAGGGUCUGACCGAAUCCCACACCCCUACACCAGAUGGUCUGGUCGACGCCUUUAUUCCUGCCUCGACAUCUCUGACCUCAUCUCAGGUUUCCUGGUUCAAAGCUGGCUCCUCAUCACAGGCAAAUCGUCAGCUUCCCAAGCCCAGAACCUUUCAGCAUCUUCCACCACUCCUUCAUGAACCUCGUUUGGUAUGCACCAGAGAGUAGUUCCCACAACUCACUCGGUGCAGUUUUCAGCACCUGUGCCUGCUUCACGUUUCCUGAGAGCAGCUGAGCCCACUUCGCAUCUCCUGAUUGCAGCUGACCCCACUUCAUGCCUCCUGAGUGAAGCAGAGCCUGCUCCUGGUCUCCUCAGAGCACGUAAGUCCACUCCUAGCCUGAACUCGCUGUUGAUCAACAGCAGCGAGUCCUAAGCACACAGAAGAGGAUCCCAUGUGCUCAUCUACCGCAGCACCUGUUCCCACGUCCUCAUCUCCUGCAACAAAAGUUUCCAAAUCCUCAUCUGCAGCAGCAACAGCGGUCCCCUCAUCCGCAAAGGAGCCGGUCUCACAUCAGUAGAAGCAUCUGUUGCGUCUGCUAUAUUUGCUUCAGAGACUCCAUUUCAACUUUACUUUCACAAUCUACGCCAUCGUUGCGAUCACCAUCUACAAUCCUGGCACCAUCCUUGUUAUCCCGGUAGUACUUUGAAAAGCUUUGACCCACCCACAGGUGAUGUUGCAGUUCCAGUCUCCUGAUCUCCUUCAUAGAUUCCAGUUUCCUGAGCUCCACUGUGGGCUCUCCAUGACUCUCGGCUGGUCCCCUGACAGUCCCCUGGGUUGGCAUCCAGGCAAAGUUCUAAAUGGGUUGCCCCAGUCACCUGGUAUGCUUCCAACCAUGGUGAUCCUAGGGAUCUCCCAGUAGAACCUUAUUUGAAUACCCGCUAGGAGGAAGUCUCGGAUCCUUCUCAUUUGUGUUUGCUUUCACCAUUUCUCUGUAUAUUUUAGUUGAUGCCCUUAACAUUUGCCACAAAAUGUUUAAAAACGAUGUGCCUACUGGUUACCAUUUGGAGCACAUGCAAAAGCCUCAUUUCUCUGUAAAGGAAUAUUCAAUGUUUUAGAAACAAAUUGUUACAUUCUGAUAAAAAAACAAAAACAAAAAAAAAAACUAAAUAUUCCCCUCAGCUUUAUAUUUGUCUUGUCCUUUUGAUUUAGCGAUGCAGCUCCUGUGCCAAUUAACCCCUCUUUUUGUUAGUCUCUCUGCUUACCUUCAGACCCAGCUGUUCCACAUUUUCUCCUAAUUAACACACCAACAUCCCAUGUCAUUUACACAUCUCCCUCAGCAUAUUAACUCUCUUCCUCUCAUUGUACUCUCCCAUUUUAAUGCUAGUAUUUCCUGUUUUGCCUCUUCCUGUUUUGCUGCCUCUACCGGUGUUCAUGUUUUCACUGUGCCCUCCCUUAAGUUCUGUGCCAUUGUUAAAAUAUUUAUUUUAACAAUGACAUAGAACUGUCAUUGACAUAGAACCCCUGACUGCGCCUGGGUUCUCCUCCACCGACAUGACAGAGACACACCUACACAGUUUAUGUUAAAGUGAGACUUGUAGGUCCACAUGCUUUAUUAUUCUAAUGUUAUUUUCUGCUUUGCUGUUUUGGAGGUCAACUGAACAUACAUUAAUCAGCAUAUGUUACCACUGGUGUCAAGAAGGUGAUGGCUUUUGAAGUAGUACCCAAGUGUAGACAAGCAGGGGCAGUUCGGUGAGUACAAAAGGUAAAAUAAAGAAUCGUUCAUCCAAGCAAAAACGUGAGCAGGUAUUGCAUGAACACUUGGAAGGGCUUGGCGUGAUAAAUAGGUGAGGACAUGAAGAGGCUUUGCAAACAGUCAAGGAUAGCCUUAGCAUGGCAGACAGGCUUGGCACAUCUAUAGUUUGCUUGAUUCAGUAUCUGCAGGAUAUUAAUGACGUUUGCCCAGAGGAAGAACCACCAUGCCGUGAGACUUUAGCUUUGGUGAGGGAAACAAACACACAACUUUGUGUGUUUUGGCUGUGCAAUUAUUUUGAUUGUACCAACACUGUCUGUCAGCUAUUUCAGACAAACACUGCUGUAAAGGGGGUGACUGUUGGAUUACGAGUCAUCUAGGUACUCGGUAUUUAGACGUUGUAAACAUAGUCUCAUGGAAAUUAAAGUUUACUAUUAUUGGUGAUAGAUUUCUGUAAAAACAAUGAUGUACAAGUAUUAUUUUGUGGUCUGUUUUUUCAUUGAUGUUACUGAGAAUGGCAGUUUGGAUGAUUACCUGCCACUAUUAAAAAAUAUGUCUUUA